rnacentral:rRNA from 1 species
AACCCUCGUCUUUAGUUAAAUUUCUAUAGAGACUGCCGAUUACAAGUCGGAGGAAGUGGGGACGACGUCAAGUCAUCAUGCCAUUUAUAUCCUGGGCUACACACGUGCUACAAUGGUUGAGACAACGAGUGCAAAUUUGCGAAAAUAAGCUAAUCUCUUAAACUCAGCCUUAGUUCGGAUGGUAGGCUGAAACUCGCCUGCCUGAAGCCGGAAUUGAUAGUAAUCGCUGGUCAGCUAUACAGCGGUGAAUACGUUCUCGGGUCUU